AAAAGAAACCAUUUUGAAUUAAAAAUGGAAUGGGAGUAAAUUGUCAACAUUUGAAAAUAAUUGCUUUCCCUAUUGAAGCUGCAGUGCCUCGCACGGCCUUACCUUUAUAGAAAUACCCAUUCAGGACAAAGUUGUUGCAUGCAGGGUAUACUAGAAGAGGAAAGCUGAUUACAUACAGGUUGUCAGCGUUGCCGUCUUCAGUUCCAUUUUAAGCCCCGAAGCGUAUAGCACACACGGUUGCGGCACCUGCGAAAUAUCUUAUCAAGAUGUUAAAGUCUUAUCAGCUGCUUUUAAGCAUAGUAUUGCUGAUUGCAUUUUUUAACAUUGGGACAAAUUCAUUCGUACGACGGGCGAAUGUAACGAUUACAAACCCAGCAUGGAAAAGGUAUAAUAACACUAGGCCUUAUUACGGAGCAUUCAAUGGAAGUCGAGCCAUACAGCCCUUGCAGAGCAGUUCACAAUAUGCAGUACCUUACCAAGGAGCAGUACAACCAAACAUAGGAUUCAGUAACAUUCUUUUCGGCUCUGGUACUCCAAUCCAACCCAAUACUAAUUAUGGAAUUAACGCUCAGCCGUACUACCCAAACAGUACUACGCAUGGAAGAUUUAAUUAUACCAAAAGUGCUCAAGCCAACAGCACUUAUCCAUUCGCCAGGCUAUUCAAGUUCUGGUAAAACUCUAAAUAUUCCAAUAUUGAAAGCAAGAUUAAAAAUGAGAACCAAGA